CAACAUCCUCAUUGCUUUCUAUCAUGAGAGAAGAAACUUACUCAAUUUAAAUUAUUUUUUUUCCAUGGUUCAUUUAUAACAAUUGUUUGUAGUCUCAUCGUGUGUCUAUUCAUUUCAGUCUUUGCUGCUUAAUAUCAAAAUUUAUAAAAAAAUAAUAAUUAUAAAAUCAAAGCCAAACCACACUUCCAUUGAGAUAAAUGAAAGAAUAUACAUGGAUAUACAAAAAAAAAAAAAAGAAGAAAAAGAAAAUUCAUGCCAGACAAAAAAAGAAAAAAAAUGGAGUCUCACACUAACAACAGAAGCAUACUUUUCUCUUGUAAUAAACAAUUUCAUUGAUAUAUGAAAUAUAUUCAAAGAAGUACAAAAAGGGCAUUCAAAGGGUGUACAAAAGGUGUUUCCAAUGUGCAAAGAGGAUAUUAAAAUUGUAAUCUUUUAGAUUAUGUAAAAAAAAAAAGUAUGUAAAUUUUUACACCAAAAGAUAGCAUUGUAAAUAGCUAACUCAAGACUUCUUUAGGGGACCUCUCACGAUUCUUGAAGAUUCUGGCAUUCCCCUCAUCCUGAAACUUGGUCAAAACUGCACAAACGUUGCAAGACCAUACAAUCACCUUUGUUGCUUUGAAAGGGUAUUCUAAUAAGGUCAAUCCAAGCCAACUGAUAGUGAUAGCAUACCCCAAGGAAACUGUUGUCCAAUUAAAAGAGUGAAAUAGUUCAGCCCAUAAAUCACCAGCAAAAGGGCAGUGGAAAAGAAGGUGAAAUUGUGUUUUGUUGCUUUCCUUGCAUAGGCAGCACCACGAUGGGAAAAGCCUAAUCCAUGGGCAUCUUCUUUGAAUU